rnacentral:rRNA from 1 species
AGAGUUUGAUCAUGGCUCAGGACGAACGCUGGCGGCGUGCUUAACACAUGCAAGUCGAACGGUGACGAGGAGCUUGCUCUUCUGAUCAGUGGCGAACGGGUGAGUAACACGUGAGCAACCUACCCUUGACUCUGGGAUAACAGUUGGAAACAGCUGCUAAUACCGGAUACGACCCCGGCAGUCAUCUGCUGGGGUGGAAAGCUCCGACGGUCAAGGAUGGGCUCGCGGCCUAUCAGCUUGUUGGUGAGGUAACGGCUCACCAAGGCGACGACGGGUAGCCGGCCUGAGAGGGCGACCGGCCACACUGGGACUGAGAUACGGCCCAGACUCCUACGGGAGGCAGCAGUGGGGAAUAUUGCACAAUGGGCGAAAGCCUGAUGCAGGCACGCCGCGUGCGGGGAUGACGGCCUUCGGGGUUUGUAAACCGCUUUCACCCAUGACGAAGUGAAAAUGACGGUAGUGGGAGAAGAAGCACCGGCUAACUACGUGCCAGCAGCCGCGGUGAUACGUAGGGUGCGAGCGUUGUCCGGAAUUAUUGGGCGCAAAGAGCUUGUAGGCGGUCCGUUGCGUCGGAAGUGAAAACUCAGGGCUUAACCCUGAGCCUGCUUUCGAUACGGGCGGACUUGAGGAAUGUAGGGGAGAACGGAAUUCCUGGUGGAGCGGUGGAAUGCGCAGAUAUCAGGAGGA